rnacentral:rRNA from 1 species
GACGUAGGGUGCAAGCGUUGUCCGGAUUUACUGGGCGUAAAGAGCGCGUAGGCGGCUCGUUAAGUGUGAAGCUAAAUCUCUUGGCUCAACCAAGAAAUCAUUUCGCAUACUGGCGGGCUGGAGUGAUGCAGAGGUGGAUAGAAUUCCCGGUGUAGCGGUGAAAUGCGUUGAUAUCGGGAGGAAUACCCGUGGCGAAGGCGGUCCACUGGGCAUCAACUGACGCUGAGGCGCGAAAGCGUGGGGAGCAAACAGG